rnacentral:rRNA from 1 species
CGCAAGCCUGACGGAGCAACGCCGCGUGAGGGAGGAAGGCCUGUGGGUUGUAAACCUCUUUUCUCUGGGAAGAAGACCUGACGGUACCAGAGGAAUCAGCAUCGGCUAACUCCGUGCCAGCAGCCGCGGUAAGACGGAGGAUGCAAGCGUUAUCCGGAAUUAUUGGGCGUAAAGCGUCCGCAGGCGGCCAAUUAAGUCUGCUGUCAAAGCUUAGGGCUCAACCCUAGAUCGGCAGUGGAAACUGGUUGGCUAGAGUACGGUAGGGGUAGAGGGAAUUCCCAGUGUAGCGGUGAAAUGCGUAGAUAUUGGGAAGAACACCAGUGGCGAAGGCGCUCUACUGGGCCGAAACUGACGCUGAGGGACGAAAGCUAGGGGAGCG